rnacentral:tRNA from 1 species
GAGGAUCAUGGUGUGCAGGAUGUUCUUGACCACCGAAUGGUCGAAGGCGUCACCCGCGACGUCGUAGGCGGGUUCCAGGACCGCGGUCGACAC